GCCCCCAUAGCUCAGCUGGAUAGAGCGGCUGGCUUCGAACCAGUAGGCCACAGGUUCAAAUCCUGUUGGGGGCG
rnacentral:tRNA from 1 species